UCAACCCUGCUGUGCACGUGUAAAGUCUAUGUUUUGAGCCAACACAUUGACUUAGGGAGCCAGGCUCUGAUUAUAGCGUGUAUGCCCAGGAUACAAGGGACACAUAAAGUAGUCAGGCGAGCACCCACCUGCCGAGGGCAGGUUCAAAACACAGGCGAUACGGCAUAGUGGGGAUUGG
rnacentral:other from 2 species